CAGUCACCCUACCCUGCUAGCUGUUAUCCCUUUGGUUGUGUCGUUGUUUUCUGAAAUUAGACGAGAAAGUUCAGUCAAUCCUUAUGGAUCAGCCUGCUGUGCAGUGGCAUUGUGACUGCGCCUUCCCAGCAGCCUCCUAUUGGGACUUGGAGGGUCGGUGUUGCGUACUGGGCUUGCAACUGAUGGGGAUUGUUAAAACUUUUCCUAAUGUCCCCUCUCUUUUCGGUUUCACCGCUGAUUGCUAAUGCAAACAUAGACUAUAAACUUCUCUUGGUCAAAGCAAGAGGGGUUGCUAUGUGUUUGAAUAAACUGCUUCACUUGGGGGGUUCAGGAUAUACUGCUUUAGUCAAUUUGGGACCUGGAUCUUUUCCUGUCUGUCUUUGCUCCUUUCUCCUCCCGUGCUAAUUAUUUGUUUUAGUUUUCUGGCACCAACCUUCAUAUACGUCAGCAUAGUUCUAAUUUUUACUUGGGACUUUGUAAGUCUGCUACCAUGUAGCAGAAAUGAGAACAAUAAAAGACCUAUACAUGUGUGCAUGACCAACAUUAGUUGUUUGACGUUUUUUAGAUUUUUUUGCUAUUCGUACCAAUUUUCAGGUGCUAAGUGCACAUUUUCGGGCUUACAUACAAGCGUUGGAGAAACUACAGAUGGACAUAGCAACUUCCACCGACUUGCUUGGUGUUGAAACCAGAAGUACAGGCUUCAUUUUCUCCAUUGGAAAAGAACCUCUGAAAACCCGUCCUUCAGUGUUUGCUCUGGGUGAACGAAUAAACAUUCUAAAGGUGAACUUAUUACCACUUCCAUUCAGAUAAUGAUAAUGUUCAGAAUUUUGAAGUUCAUAAGUGGCUCAAUCAUGGUAGUAGGAGUUUAACUCAGUUAGUAGUGGCAACUAAUCAGAACUUUCAACACUGUUAAUAAGAUGUUUAAUUUGUGGACAAAGCUUGCCAAUAGAAGUUUAGCAUUUGCCUUCAGAGCAUAGCCCAUUAUGCUCAAACCAAACUGUUUGAUUAUUUACGUGUCCGUACUCCAUAGUUUCAGCUUGCCUGUAUCUGCACUUACACCAUGAAGCGGUAGUAAUUACAAUUAAUGAACUGUUUAAGGAUUUGAGAUAAGCAGUUUUUGUUGGUUUAUUGCAAGUGGCCUUGCAUUUAUUUAUUUUUAAUCUUUUGAACUCUAUAUUGUUGCUGAAGGAUUUAUUUUCUCAAACUACCAAGUACCAAGCAUAGUAGUGUAAAUUCUGUUUUUCGCUUUCUUUAUUAUAUCAGGAAAUCGAUCAGCCAGCAUUGAUACCUCAUAUAGCUGAAGCGAAGUCACAGAAAUACUCAUAUGAAGUUCUUUUCAGAAGCUUGCAGAAACUUCUUAUUGACACUGCCACUUCAGAGUAAGCUUUGGGUUGCCAUCUAGUCCACAUUUUAUUUUAUUCAUGAUGAUAAAGUGCUAGUGUGACAUAUAUAAACAAACUGUAGAUACCUGUUUACCGAUGAUUUUUUUGGCGAAGAAUCCAUAUUCCAUGAUAUAUUUGCAGGUAUUUCAUCCUGCUUCCAUCAAGUUUGUUUCACUUUUAUUUCUAUCUUGUGCAGAGUACACCUAUAUUUAACUGCUAGCAUGUUGCCUUACCUUGCGUGUCCAAUAUUGCUUUCACACACUAUUUUUCCAAACAUACCAUUUGCAUUAAUGUAUCAAUCUCAUAUGCAUGAUACAUGUAUCAAAGUUUCAUGCAUACAUCCAAUGAGUGAGGAGAAAAAAUAGGAUCUGAUUAGUUGCAUUAUCUGUGAGUUCUUUUUAACUACCAUAUCACUAAGCGAAGUUUCUUAUUUUCAUCAUAAUAUAGUUCUCCCCAUUAAGGAGCAUAUUAGGGUCUUUUUAAGUUCUGUAGAAAGAUUAGCAUAUUUUCUGUUAUGCUGACUGCAAAUGAUUUUUAAUUUUAGUUCUGUUUCUGUUUUUGCCCCCUCAGGACCGAUUCAAGUUGUAGAUGAACACUUCAAUGCUGUACUCCUGAACUGUUAUGAUGCAAUUGGCAUAAUGCUUAUGAUCAGAAUAAUUCAUCAGCACCAGGUGAACUUUGAUUUACCUUAUGAUGGAACAGCUAGUGAUAUCGACAUUUAUAUGUCUUAUUAAGAAUAAAGCCGAGGACAAUUGUGUUUUCUGUUCUCACAGUGGUUAUGAGUUGUGAUCAUUUUUUUGGUAGAUAUUGAUUCACCCAUCCAAUUUCUCUGUUGGUUGGAAGCUAUCAGUUUUCACCUAGUUUGAGACAGUAGAUUAAACUGUAUGUAUUGGGUUGUCUUACAGUCCCAUGUAGUUGAAAACCUACCUUUUUUUUGUAUUUUUUGGUGUUUCUUUUUAAACAUUAUAUUUUAUCAGAACUUUAUUUGCUUUCUUUUAGUACAUAAACUGGUGCAAGCAGCUGGUCUAUAUUUAGCUAAAUCUCAACGGAAUAUGUAUUUUGUGCAGCUCAUCAUGUUUAAGCGGCGAAUCCCAUGUUUGGACUCUUACCUAGACAAGGUCAGUUCUGAAUCCAUUCUUAGCUCGCUAUGUGAGGCUUUCCUCUGCUCCAUUUCCAUUAUUUUGAAUGACAGCACAAUUUAUGGACAAUGGACAGGUUAAUAUGUCACUCUGGCCUCGCUUCAAGAUGGUGUUCGACUUGCAUUUGAACAGCUUGCGAAAUGCAAAUAUUAAGACUCUUUGGGAGGAUGAUGUCCAUCCACACUAUGUUACAAGGAGAUAUGCUGAAUUUACAGCUUCUCUAGCUCAUCUCAAUGUUGAACAUGGGGAUGGUCAGGUUAGUUGAUCACAUAAACAAAAUUGUUUACUGUUUGCUGAAUUUCUUCCACCCACAUCGCGUGCCAUAAGUACACUCAGCUCGUCGAAUUUUCAAAUUUUGGCUUCUAUGUGCAGCUUGAUUUAAAUUUGGAGCGAUUGCGGAUGGCUAUUGAGGACUUGCUUGUUAAGUUGGCCAAGAUGUUUGCUAAACCGAAGUUGCAAACUAUUUUUCUGAUAAACAACUAUGAUUUAACAAUUUCCAUUUUGAAGGUAGAGAAUCUCUAGCUGAUUUUAAAUGGCAAGCUUUUCUGUUAUAGUAACUUCCUAGUAUGUUAGAAAUUUAUAAAAUAAUACUAUGAUUGCCUUAUUCAAAGUUAAUCUUAUCAUCAACAUAAAGGAAGCUGGAACUGAGGGUGGCAAGGCACAACAACACUUUGAGGAGGUCCUUAAGAGCAACAUCGCAAUAUAUGUGGUAUGCAGUUUUAUAGCUUGGACAUCUUUCUUUUCUUUCUUUUUUUUUAAACGAAUAUAGCUUGAACAUCUGUAUGACAAAAUACUACUCACUGCAUUUCUUUAGCUUGCUGGUGGAACUUCCAGAGUUCAAACAAAUAAAUACAUAAAUCUACUUGGGGUAUUAGCUUCUUAUGACUGCCAUGGCCUCGUGACAGAAUGAAAUAUGGGAAAUUUGUACAAAGUAAACUAGGAUAAGACCAUUGACUUACCUAGUGGCAACACAUAAAAAUUCAUGUGUUUAAUGCUAAUGACAUUAGAGGGAGCUGCAGUUUGUCUCUGUUCAUUCGAGGACUUCUGUGACGUUCAUGUCAUGACCAAUUUCUUGCACACAUUAAUAAUACACUAGCAUUUCCUAAAAAAACUCUGCCGAAGUUUCUUGAUACAAUGCAUGCAUAUUUCUGCAGGAAGAGUUGCUCCUGGAGCAGUUCAGUAGUUUGAUCAAAUUCGUCAAAUCUCGUCCAGGUAAGUUGAGAUCUCUUGGCAACUGUAUGCCAUUUUUGUUUCUUACUUUCGAAUUACAUUUCAUCCUUGAAAACUGUAUCAGCGGAUGAAACGGCUACAAGUUCGGAGAAGGCCAGCAUUGCCGAAGUUGAACCACUAGUAAAGGAUUUCGCGAGCCGGUACAAGGCCGCGAUCGAGCUGAUGCACUAUGACGUGAUCACAUCUUUCAGCAACUUCCUGUGCGGGAUGGAGAUCUUGAGAGCGACGCUCGCGCAGCUCCUGCUAUACUACACCAGGCUCACCGAGUGUGUCAAGAGGAUCAACGGCGGCUCUGCCCUCAACAAGGACCUGGUGUCCAUAUCCUCCAUCCUGUUCGAAAUCAAGAAGUAUUCCAGGACGUUUUAGUUGCUUCACUUUCACCCCCUUCCAUGUACACUAGGACGUCGUCUAGCUGAGGGGUAGCUGUGUAUCCUUACUUUGUAAUGGGAAGUUGGUGUGUGCUACUACAGGGGAAACAAGGGCAUAUUUUGUUGUGAUUUGUAGCUUCGUGCGUGUUAUUGACUUGACCCCUCCUACCCUUUUACAGCACAGAACCAUGAUCGCUUCUGCUGUUAUUAUAUACUCACGAUUCACGAAUGUGUAUCAAACGCUUGGCUUAAUGUAAUUUUUACAGCGAUGGUGAUUUUGUGGUGUGUUUAUAUCUCCCAUCGAUCUGAUCUCACAGUAGGUAAAUUUCCCGUUGCCAUACGCAUGAAAAUAUAACAAGGGCCUGGGUAUUGCACUUGUGUAGAAACCGUCCUCGUCUCAUUCGAGCUCUUUGGAAUACGUGGGUAUUUUUCCAACUACAAUGUGAAUGUUAAAUUUAAUAUUGCUAGAAAAUUCUCGUGAAUAUUUGAAGAAAUGAAUGGAGAUCAUGCAUUGGCAGAUAUUUGUUGGAAAAUAUCCUAUGGGUAGAACUUUAGCAAACGUUAUUAAAUGUGAAUAGCAUUAUGCCGAUGCGUUUUUUUCCCGAAAAAAGAACAAAAAACCAUUAUGCGUUUCCGGCCGUAGCAGCCCGGCUGGGAGCAUCGAGGAGCGUCUCCCUCACUCGGGCGCCCGGAGCCAUCUCCACCGUCGGUGGCAAGAUCGGACGGCCGGCUGGAGGUGCUGGGCCCAUCCAGCCCCGGGGUCCCGGGCCCACCGUCCCCCCCCCCCCCCCCCUUUUCUAUACAAAACCAGCCGCGGGCCUCCAUUUCGAGCGCAGAAGCGAGAGAGGGAGCCGGAGCAGCCGCAGUCCCACCGACCCCCGCCGAUCCCGCCGCCGGUCGCCCUCAUCUCCUCGCCGCUGCCUCUCGGUAAGGUCCCCCUCCUUUGCCCGCUCUAGCAUCGUUCCGUCGUCCCGUUUCCCUGCCCCGAUUUGCGCCGGAAGCGCCUGAAUCUACCCGCGAUGCGAGAUCCGCGUCCAUUUCUGGCCUCCGAGCGUCCGCUGCCUGUCGGUAGACGCGGAUCUGUUGCGUUUGUGAACCACCGCCGUCGAUCCGCAGGGUAUCCCCUCCUCAGGGCCCCUGGGUGCGGCGGAUCUAAAUCUUUCUCUGAAUCUUGAAGAAUCUAUAUCUUUUACGAAAUGUUGUUGGCAGAUCCAAACAGACUUAGAUAUUUUUCAGUAUUUGUCCGUUAGUCCUCGAAAUUAAAUCGAUUUGCAUUGUCUCUCUUGUUCCUUUGUACAAUGUGUGUUGGAAUAAUGCUUGAUACCUGAUUAAAUCCUUGUAUAGUUUCUCUUUUCAAUAAUCAAGAUGAGCCGUGGUGGUAGCGCCGGCGGUGGUCAAAGUUCUCUGGGAUACCUCUUUGGAAGCGGUGAGCCCCCCAAACCAGCAGUGGCACCACCAGCUGCAUGUGCUCCACCUGCUGAGAAACCAUCGGCUGCAAAGCCUGAUGCCACCAAACAGGUUGCUGCUGGGGUCACCAGCCAAACCAAUAACUACCACAGGGCUGAUGGCCAGAACACCGGGAACUUCCUUACGGUAUGCUAGUUUACCUUCUUUCAUUUCACAUAAGACUUUGUUUUACAUAUUUGUUGCCAUCAUCUGUUGAUAUGCUUAGAAAUGAUGUCAUAGUUUGUGAGAUGUUUAGAUGAGGUGUAAUCAUGUUAUGAGAAAGCAGUAUGGUAGUUUGUGUUGUGUUGUCACAUAAUGUAUGUACUUAUUCUAACAACCUGCUAGAAUUAUGUUGAUGGAAAGACUUCCAAUCACGUAUAUUGCUCUUUAAAUCGUACUGAGUCUUGAUUCUUGUGGGGUUGUUGACCUGUUGUGCUACAUCCUGAAUUCUUGAAUGUUUGGACCAUCAAUCAUGAGCAAGGUUUUAAAUAGCGGGCUAAGGUGUUUAGCAGUCUAUGUCUAAAACAGCUAAUAGCGGAGCUAAAUCGGGCUAUAGCGGGAUAUAGCGGCUAAAUUGUACAUAAACAUAAAUAGCGGUACCCUGCCUCAAAAGGCUAUAGCGGCAGCAAUAGCGAGAGAUUUAAAACUAUGAUCAUGAGCCAUGUACCAUUUUAUCGCCAACACUAAAUGCUAACACCUUGUUAGUGGCAAAAAAUUUAAUGCCCCUAAGAAAAUAGUCAGACCAUGUCUUUCCAUAAACCAUUGGCUAGAACCUGCUGAACCAAACAUUCCCAUAGUUGUGUCAUGACACAGAAUCUGAUUGGGCAAUACAAGAGUGCAAAUUAGGAAUCCUCAUCCUCAUUCCAGGGAAUACUGAAUUAUGAAUCCUAUUGCAGUUUCAUUCAAAACUACAGAUUCAUAUAUGAAACAUUGUUGCAAACUAAAUAUAUAACAGAGAAAGCAGGUGAACCUGGUUUACCUAAUCACUCCCCAGAAACCAAACCUUGUUUCUUCAUUUACCAGUUAUGCAAAUGCAACCGUGUCAUACUAAUUCUUGGACCUGGUUAACUGAUAGUGUUGUUAUUUGUGAAUGGUUGCAGGAUCGUCCUUCGACGAAGGUCCACGCUGCUCCUGGCGGUGGCUCUUCCCUGGGCUACCUGUUUGGUGGCAAUUGAUGCCCACGUCGGAGCUCACCAAGUUAUCCUCCCCUGCCCCGCUGCAUGUUAUGCCAUGUCUGAAUCAUGAACAACUGGUGUUGUCGUUUCAUGUGUGUGUGUGCC
rnacentral:lncRNA from 1 species